UCCCAAAGUAGAUGGGGGCAUUGCCUGUGCAGUGCGACCCAAAAUAGAUAGGGGAACCGCCUCUCUAGUGCACCUCAAAGUAGAUGGCAUCACUGACUCCAUUCUAACAGGAGAGCUGGACAAGAGUAAGUUUACUGUCAUAACCCAAAACAGCUGUAACAUUUAAAUUUUUAUUUUUUAUUUUUUUUAUUCUCUUUUAACAGAUCACAUUUGUAGGCAGUACAAAUUUGGUGGCAGGCUGGGUCAAGGAGGAUUUGGCUCAGUGCGUAAAGGGAUUCACUACAAGGAUGGUCUUAAGGUAUGUUUUUUACUUACAAUGUGUGGGUUCUUCAAGUUCUAGUAAUGUAUCUUAUGUUUGCUCAUUAGAGAACUCAACCUGUUUAAACUCUCAUACUGACUAAACAUGCUUUAUUAGGUUUUAAAUAACUGCUUGGUAGGCCUAAAUUCACAUAACUUCUGUUCAUCAGGAUUUUCACAGUCUUCCAGUGGUAAGUAUUAUGCAUCAGUUUGGUAGCAAAUUUAUUAGCUCACUCAGAUGCAUCCUGUAUCUAGUAAACAUUCUUGUGUUAUGACCAUCAAACAAAAUUUCUUUCUUCCAGGCACAAGACCGUACAUGCCUCCGGAGUAUUAUGACAGAGGCUUUUACCAUGCAAAGCCCGCAACAGUGUUUUCACUGGGGGUGCUUCUGUUCUGUUCUGUUCGUAAUGCUGCCUGGAUGUUUUCCACAAGCCAGUGAAUUAUACUUCUUGAGCAAUGACCAGUCCAUGUUUGCUGUGUCACAAGAAUGCAUCUAUUUUUUGUCGGCUUGUCUGCAGAGUCAUACAGAGAACAGGAUUCUUCUGGAGCAAAUGUCUUAUCAUGACUGGUUGAUGUUGGGUUUUCAUAAACACCCACCACGUAAUUACAUCUAACCUGCAUUCCCAUCAUCGAUAAAAGUCACUGCAUAAGACAUGGAGAAAAGCAGAAAACGGCCACCCAGUGGUUUUCUCUCUUCAGUCAGCAUUGUGUCUGGCAGGCUAACAUGAGUGGCAUUUCUGUCCCUUAGGGAUGUUUAAAUAUUGUAUAUUGUAUAUACACAGUGUAAAUACUUUUUUAAUAAUUAAAAUAAUUAUUAUAUACUUACGCCUUAUUACAGGCCU